rnacentral:lncRNA from 1 species
UAUAAGAGUCGCUUCUGCUAGCCUGAAGAAUAAAGGUGCAGAAAACAAGUGAAACGACGGUGGAGAUACAGGCGUAAAUAAACCGUCGGAUCAUGAGGGUUUUGAAAGAUGAAAGGGGGCGGUAGAUGAAGGAUUAGUGUGGGAGAGUAGAGGAUUGCGACGUACAAGAUAGUCAUUGUUGACGGAACACCACCGGAGCCGGAGUAUGACUCCAUUGUUGACGGAAUUGGCGAGUUUGUCCAAGAUUGGGGGUUUUGAGACGACCACAUGGUUUAGCCAAAUAAUGUCCCCAUCAUGA